rnacentral:rRNA from 1 species
CACGUAGGGUGCAAGCGUUGUCCGGAUUCAUUGGGCGUAAAGGGCUAGUAGGCGGCUUAGCAAGUCGGGUGUGAAAACUUCAGGCUCAACCUGGAGCGGCCAUCCGAUACUGCUAUGGCUAGAGUCCGGUAGGGGACCACGGAAUUCCUAGUGUAGCGGUGAAAUGCGCAGAUAUUAGGAGGAACACCGGUGGCGAAGGCGCUGCUCUGGGCCGAUACUGACGCUGAGGAGCGAAAGCGUGGGUAGCAAACAGG